rnacentral:rRNA from 1 species
AGUGAACGCUGGCGGUAGGCCUAACACAUGCAACUCGAUCCGCAGCACAGUAAGAGCUUGCUCUUAUGGGAGGCGAGCCGCGGACGGUUGCGGAAUAACUCGGAAUCUACUUUUUCGAGGGGGACAACGUAGGGAAACUUACGCUAAUACCGCAUACGACCUACGGGUGAAAGUAGGGAAUCUUCCGACCUUGCACGAUCCAAUGAGCCGAUGUCCGAUUAGCUAGUUGGCGGGGUAAAGGCCCACCAAGGCGACGGUCCGUAUCUGGUCUGAGAUGAUGAUCAGCCACACUGGAACUGGGACACGCUCCAGACUCCUACGGGAGGCAGCAGUGAGGAAUAGUGGACAAUGGGCGCAAACCUGAUCCAGCCAUACCGCGUGGGUGAAUAAGGCCUUCGGGUUGUAAAGCCCUUUUGUUGGGAAAGAAAAGCAGCAGGUUAGUACCCCCCUGUUCUGACGGUACCCAAAGAAUAAGCGCCGGCUAACUUCGUG